rnacentral:lncRNA from 1 species
GACUGUAAUUGCUUCGGGCUAGAGCCCUGUGCUUGUAGGAGUCCUCAGAAGUCAUAGUUUCAGUUUAGACCAUUUAUAAUUCCUUAUUGUAGUGUUUGUAAGCUCCUAGUUUUGGAGGCAGCAUAUAACUGACAAGGCCAGGUCAAAUAUUGGUGGCUGGUUUUGAGGUAACCAUACUAAUUUCCAGCGCUUAAACUUUAUCCAAAAAAACAUUCCAGCGCUUAAACUUUAUCAAAAAAAAAAAAUUCCAGCACUUCAACUUUAUCCAAAAAAAAAUUCCAGUUUCAGUAUAUCCAGAAUUUCCACUUUC